rnacentral:rRNA from 1 species
UACGUAGGGAGCAAGCGUUGUCCGGAAUCAUUGGGCGUAAAGCGCGCGUAGGUGGCCUCGUAAGUCCGCUGUGAAAGUCAAAGGCUCAACCUUUGAAAGCCGGUGGAUACUGCGGGGCUAGAGUACGGAAGAGGCGAGUGGAGUUCCUGGUGUAGCGGUGGAAUGCGCAGAUAUCAGGAGGAACACCAAUAGCGAAGGCAGCUCGCUGGGACGUUACUGACACUAAGGCGCGAAAGCGUGGGGAGCGAACAGG